AGAGCAGUCAAAGAAUGAAGCAAACCAAAAAUGAAAUUUUGUGAAAGACUCCUUUUGUCCUUGUCCCCCCAUCAGCAAUUUCUUCUUAUACUUUUUGCCUUUUGCUUCUUCUUUAUGCUCACUAUGCCUUUAUUGCUUUAUAUCCAUCGCCUCUUAAACAUCUACUCCAAAAUAAUCAGAGAGGUGUUUGAGUGGAACAAGCAGUUUGGAAGGCCUAUCACCUUCCAAUACAGCUGGUUAAAUGGGGUCAAAAUUGGAGUUCAGGAGAAAAAGGGGAUUGUCCCAACGAGUCUUCUGUUCAAUCAAAGACCUCUAGCUCAUAGUUCAAUUGGACAUGUAGGUU
rnacentral:misc_RNA from 1 species